AGCUAAGUUUGUUAUUGGUAUGAGCUUUCGUGUGCAUGCACACUUCUUCAGAUAUUUCUUCAGAUACUUUGAUAUCUGAAGAAGUGUGCAUGCACAUGGAAGCUCAUACCAAUAACAAACUUAGCUGG